rnacentral:rRNA from 1 species
AUCGAACGCUGGCGGCAGGCCUAACACAUGCAAGUAGAACGAGUUGCGAACGGGUGAGUAACGCGUGGUAACCUGCCUCAUAGCGGGGGAUAACUAUUGGAAACGAUAGCUAAUACCGCAUACUGUGAGAUGGACCUGCGUUGUAUUAGCUAGUUGGUGAGGUAAAGGCUCACCAAGGCGACGAUACAUAGCCGACCUGAGAGGGUGAUCGGCCACACUGGUACUGGGGCACGGUCCAGACUCCUACGUGAGGAAGCGGUGGAGCAUAUUGCGCUAUGGGCGCAAGCCUGAUGCAGCCAUGCCGCGUGUCUGAAGAAGGCCUUCGGGUUGUAGAGUACUUUCAGCGGGGCGGCGUUACCCGCAGAAGAAGCACCGGCUAACUCCGUGCCAGCAGCCGCGGUAAUAC